CCCCUGUCACCUGCUCCAAGACCACCCUUCACCCUGCUCCAAGACCACCUUUCCUCCUGCUCCCAGCUCCCUAUCCUUACCAGCUCCCUGAUAGUCCGUCAGUCCAGAACUCUCCCUGCUGACUGGAUCUCAGCAUUGAUCCUGCGGGAUGUGCAGUUUUGUCCCAGUGAAGGGUCGGAGAGACAGUGAGGAAGCCAUGGAUGUAGAUGUGGUGCUAGAUAUGGAGGAGAGUAUGGAUGUGGAUGUUGAAGAGACUUUGGAAGAGAUGGAAGUUGAUGUGGUGGACAAGAUCGAGGAUAUGGAAGUGGAUGAAGAAGAUGAGGUGGAAGACAUGAUUCUGGGAUGAGGAGAGUCCCCCAUCAUCAGCAGGACUGACGGACACGCUGGCCAUGGAAUAGGCCAUGGUGUACAUAUGUUCUCUACGUUGUUUCCUGUUUUUCUGUACAUACAUUUUAUACUUUUGAUUUUUUAAGAAAAUAGUGGGUUUUAGA